GACGAACGCUGGCGGCGUGCCUAAUACAUGCAAGUCGAGCGGACCGAACAGGAGCUUGCUCUUGUUCGGUUAGCGGCGGACGGGUGAGUAACACGUGGGUACCCUGCCGGUAGGACCGGGAUACCUCCGGGAACCCGGAGCUAAUACCGGUUAACACGGAGGACGGCAGGGAUUUUGGUUGAAAGCGGGCUCCGGCUGCCCUUUAGGGGAGGGCCCGCGGGGCAUUGGCGAGUUGGGGCGGUAACGGCAUCCCAAGGCGAUGUUGCGUAGCCGGCCUUCAGGGGUGACCGGCCACCCUGGGACCGGGACACGGCCCAGACCCCUACGGGAGGCAGCAGUAGGGAAUCUUCCGCAAUGGACGAAAGGCUGACGGAGCGACGCCGCGUGAGCGAAGAAGGUCCUCGGAUCGUAAAGCUCUGUUGUUAGGGAAGAAGAAGCGUCGUUCGAACAGGGCGGCGCGGUGACGGUACCUAACGAGAAAGCCCCGGCUAACUACGUG
rnacentral:rRNA from 1 species